rnacentral:rRNA from 1 species
UACGUAGGGUCCGAGCGUUGUCCGGAAUUAUUGGGCGUAAAGAGCUCGUAGGCGGUUUGUCGCGUCUGCCGUGAAAGUCCGGGGCUCAACUCCGGAUCUGCGGUGGGUACGGGCAGACUAGAGUGAUGUAGGGGAGACUGGAAUUCCUGGUGUAGCGGUGAAAUGCGCAGAUAUCAGGAGGAACACCGAUGGCGAAGGCAGGUCUCUGGGCAUUAACUGACGCUGAGGAGCGAAAAGCAUGGGGGAGCGAACAGG